GUUCUCUGAAGAUUAAUAUUAUCCCUCAUUUGCAGAACCAUUAAAAACUUGUAAUCAAGCAAAUGAGAACGUAAAUCUGUACAUUUUGGACAGAUUUUCUACAAUCAUUCCCAAACAUAAUUUUUUAAGUGAUAGGAUCACAUUUCAUCUGAAUAUCAAGAAGUUGAAAUCUACAGCUGAAUGCAUCUCUUGUCAGAUAGUCCAUAUCUGAGAAAGGAGAUGAGAAGUAGCUUCUUGUGGAUUGCAGAUUGCAGAGUACUAACCCCAUAAGCAGAUUGCAGAGUACUUACUGAAAGAUUCAAG